AUGCAUCUUAGAUACAGCAGAAAGAAGAAAAAAAAGGUCCAACCUGAGACCUCAUCUGCAGGGCUCGUUUUCAGAGUAACAAAAGAAUCCAUAGAGAAAGUAGUUCAAAGAAAAAGCAAGAUAUCUCAAUUCUCACUUUUCUCGCUCAACACUUCAAUUCCUCAGUUAUCAUUGCGAUUCUGUAGAAUCGUUGACAGGACGCUUUGUGGUUGA